UACGUAGGGUGCGAGCGUUAAUCGGAAUUACUGGGCGUAAAGCGUGCGCAGGCGGUUUGCUAAGACCGAUGUGAAAUCCCCGGGCUUAACCUGGGAACUGCAUUGGUGACUGGCAGGCUAGAGUAUGGCAGAGGGGGGUAGAAUUCCACGUGUAGCAGUGAAAUGCGUAGAGAGUGUGGAGGAAUACCGAUGGCGAAGGCAGCCCCCUGGGCCAAUACUGACGCUCAUGCACGAA
rnacentral:rRNA from 1 species